AGCACUUGGGAGGCAGAUCUUUGUGAGUUCGAGGCCAGUCUGGUCUACAUAGGUUACUCAGUCCUUUAAGAGCUUUUUAGAGGACAGCUGGGGCUACAAGAAGACCCUGUCUCAAAGACAAAAGAAAAAAGAAUUAGGGCCCAAGGACGAAAACCACAUUUAAAGCUCAAAUACAGCUUACAAAAGCUUGAGAAUCUCAUAUAAAUGGAGAUUCUCUCCGGCUGACAGCUGCGACUUGACUGCCUGCCAGUGGCUGGCUUUUUCCGGUUUAUUCUCCAAAUGGCAACGUCCUGGGAACACCUCCAUUAUUAACAACGGCCACCAGUGGGUCUCUUCUGGAAUUAUUUUCUUCAGUACUGGAAUUGAACCCGGAACCUAGAUACUCAUUCUCACUGAGCCCCAGGCUGCCCUAGAAACUUGGGAUCCUUCCACUUCAGCCUCCCAAAAGCAGGGAUUACAGGCUGACACCUUCAGGCUUUGCCGCCCUCCUCCUCCUUGUCAAGCCUAGUCUUCAUCUGGCCCAAAGGACACCAGCAGAAAAGAAUGGGUAUAUGCAUGUAUUGCCUGCAUGUAGAACUCUGACAGGACCAGGACCCACUGCAGUUCCAGGUCAGCUGUCAUUCCCCGGAGCUCCCUGCCUGCUGUCCUCAACUGGGCAUGACUCACCUUCAGAGGCAUGUGUCCAGCCCUCACCUAGUUACUCACCCUCUGUGGCCUGCUGAGUGGACCUUCUGGAAUAGCCUAAGUGGGCGACACCCACAUUCUUGUGUCCCUGAUGUGUUCCAUCAUCUGCUUGAGGUCUCUGGAGGAUAUUUGUGUUGACUCAAUACGUCCAGUGUGAUGCUCAUUAAACACUGCACACGUGCACACACACCCACACACACACAGUAUGGCUUCCCCCCAUGCAAUUGCAGUCAGCUGUGUACCGCAGAAGCAAGUCAGGGGCUGGAGUCCUCCAGGAUCUUUGCUAGAAUGCUCCAAGACACUGCCAGGUACAAACAAGGGCAGCAUGACAGAGCAGCUCCUGGAUGAGGAGUCCAGUUGGGGGGGGGGGGUUGAGCAGAGUGGGUCUGUGAAGCUUCCAGGUUCCCAUCCCUGCAGGGAAGCCCCCAGGAACCAGGCCACAGCUUCACAGAGUUUGGAGGUUUUCCUGAAUUGCAGCAAAAUUGCCUAAGAAAAACUGUUAUCUUUUUCUCCUAGUCUUGAAAUUCAGUAAUUCUAGUUUACUCUCCUGAUUUGCAUCAGCCACUCAGAAACAUUCCUGGGUCACAAGAUGGCUCAGCAGGUAAGGGAGCUUGCCUCUGA